rnacentral:rRNA from 1 species
CGCGAUUGGGGAGCUUGCUCCCCAUGAAAGUGGCGCACGGGUGCGUAACGCGUAUGCAACCUACCUUAAUCAGGGGGAUAGCCCGAAGAAAUUCGGAUUAACACCGCAUAACAUAACACCAUGGCAUCAUUCAGUUAUCAAAUAUUUAUAGGAUUAAGAUGGGCAUGCGUGACAUUAGUUAGUUGGUAAGGUAACGGCUUACCAAGACGACGAUGUCUAGGGGAUCUGAGAGGAUGACCCCCCACACUGGUACUGAGACACGGACCAGACUCCUACGGGAGGCAGCAGUAAGGAAUAUUGGUCAAUGGGCGAAAGCCUGAACCAGCCAUGCCGCGUGCAGGAAGACUGCCCUAUGGGUUGUAAACUGCUUUUGUCGGGGAAUAAACCUCUUUACGUGUAAAGAGCUGAAUGUACUCGAAGAAUAAGGAUCGGCUAACUCCGUGCCAGCAGCCGCGGUAAUACGGAGGAUCCAAGCGUUAUCCGGAUUUAUUGGGUUUAAAGGGUGCGUAGGCGGCUUUUUAAGUCAGGGGUGAAAGACGGUGGCUCAACCAUCGCAGUGCCUUUGAUACUGAAGAGCUUGAAUAGACCUGAGGUAGGCGGAAUGUGACAAGUAGCGGUGAAAUGCAUAGAUAUGUCACAGAACACCAAUUGCGAAGGCAGCUUACUAAAGUCUAAUUGACGCUGAGGCACGAAAGCGUGGGGAUCAAACAGGAUUAGAUACCCUGGUAGUCCACGCCCUAAACGAUGAACACUCGAUGUUAGCGAUAUACAG